rnacentral:rRNA from 1 species
AUUUUUGACUAUAUUUAAAGAUGCUAUUUUUGUGUAAUAUGAGCAUGCUCAAGUUACUAAGUGUUUUUCAUUAAAAUAACUUAGUUUAAAGUCCUAAAAUGGCAGUGGUGUUAAUUGCUUCUUGAAUAAAAACAAAACAUAGUAAAAAAUGUUUAAUAUUUUAACAAUACUAAAUAUUUUUCUGUAACUUAAAUUUAAAAAAUUUGAAUUAAUAAAAUUGAAAAAAUAACGUAUUAAUUUUUUUUUUUUUUUUUUUUUUGCAUAGUAGUAUUAAUAUAGUAGUAUUGUUUCAACAAAAUGUAGCUUAAAAUUUGAUCUUUUAAUGAUAAGUUUUGUUAAUCAAGAAUGUUUAUAUUCCAAAAACUUGUUCUAUUACUCAGGUUGGUCUUUUAUAAUUAAUUUUUUAUUAAUCUCGGCUUUUUAUUAGUCUCGGCGAUCUCGGCUUCGACAGAGGAGUCGGUAUUUGCGGCACGCGCUGCCCUUUCACGAGGGCGGCUGAUCGCUCCAGUUGCUUGUCGAUCAGGGCGGACUGCUUACAGUGCGCUCGAACUGCUGGUGAUUGCUUUUGACGGCGAGAUCUGCACACGCUUCGUGCUCAGGUUUUUGGCGGUCAUAUGAUUUCAUGCGACCCGUUUUGAAACACGGACCAAGGAGUCUAACAUGUGUGCGAGUCUUCAGGUGACUGAAACCCUCGGACACAAUAAAAGUAAAGGCUCGCGAGAGCUGAAGUGAGAUCUUGCCGCACUCCAAUGCGGUAAGCGCAUCAUUGACCGACCUAUUCUACUCUUAGAAAGGUUUGAGUAAGAGCACAUCUGUUGGGACCCGAAAGAUGGUGAACUAUGCUUGAGUAGGGUAAAGCCAGAGGAAACUCUGGUGGAGGCUCAUAGCAAUUCUGACGAGCAAAUUGAUCGUCAAACUUGAGUAUAGGGGCAAAAGACUAAUCAAACCAUCUAGUAGCUGGUUCCGAAGUUUCCCUUAGGAUAGCUGGAACUCGGAACAGUUUUAUCAGGUAAAGCGAAUGAUUAGAGGCCUUAGGGUUGAAACAACUUUAACUUAUUCUCAAACUUUAAAUUGGUACGAAGCCCGACUUGCUCGAUUGAAGUAGAGCACAGAAUGAGAGUUCUUAGUCGGCCAAUUUUAGUAAGCAGAACUGGCGAUGCGGGAUGAACCGAACACAGAGUUAAGGCGCCUAAAUCGACGCUCAUUAGACCCCACAAAAGGUGUUGGUUGAUCCAGACAGCAGGAUGAUAGCCAUGAAAGUCGGAACCCGCUAAGGAGUGUGUAACAACACACCUGCCAAAUGAACUAACCCUGAAAAUGGAUGGCGCUCAAGCGUCGUGCCUAUACUCUGCCGUCAAGGCAAACGGUUAAGCUUUAACGAGUAGGAAGGCAUGGGGGUCGUGACACAGCCUUUGGCGUGAGCCUGGGUGAAAUGGCCUCUAGUGUAGAUUUUGGUGGUAGUAGCAAAUAUUCUAAUGAGAACUUUGAAGACCAAAGUGGAGAAAAGUUCCAUGUGAACAGAAGUUGGACAUGGGUAAUUCGAUCCUAAGAGAUAGGGAAACUCCGUUUUAAAGUGUCCGAUCUCGGACCUAACUAUCAAAAGGGAAUCGGGUUAAUAUUCCCGAACCGGAACGCGGAUAAUCUACCGUCUCGGCGUUAGACGUGCGGCAACGCAACUGAACUCGGAGACGUUGCAAAGGAGCCCUGGGAAGAGUUCUCUUUUCUUGUUAACGGCCUGACACCAUGGAAUCUGAUUGCCAGGAGAUAUAGUUUAACGGUCGGUAAAGCACUACACUUCUUGUAGUGUCCGGUGCGCUCCUGACGGCCCUUGAAAAUCCAAGGGAAAGACUGAUUUUCGCGUCCUUUUGUACUCAUAACCGCAGCAGGUCUCCUAGGUUAGCAGCCUCUGGUCCAUAGAACAAUGUAGGUAAGAGAAGUCGGCAAAAUAGAUCCGUAAUUUCGGGAAAAGAUUUGGCUCUAAGAAUUGGGUCUGUCGGGCUGAGACUUUAAGCGAGUGGCACCAACCUGGGCUGGCUCGCGGCCUCUUCGGCUCAUAUCGCAGGGGCUGUGGGUUGGAAUGGGAAGGAACCGCUCGUGGAUUGGUCCUGCUUUGCUCGCGAGAGCAGUUCGGCAGGCGAUUGACAAUCGACUUAACCUGGUACGGACAAGGGGAAUCCGACUGUUUAAUUAAAACAAAGCAUUGCGAUGGCCGUCAACGGUGUUGACGCAAUAUGAUUUCUGCCCAGUGCUCUGAAUGUCAAAGUGAAGAAAUUCAACCAAGCGCGGGUAAACGGUGGGAGUAACUAUGACUCUCUUAAGGUAGCCAAAUUCCUCGUCAUCUAAUUAGUGACGCGCAUAAAUGGAUUAACGAGAUUCCCACUGUCCCUAUCUACUAUCUUGCGAAACCACAGCUAAGAGAACAGGCUUGGCAAAAUCAGCGGGGAAAAAAGACCCUGUUGAGUUUGACUCUUGUCUGACUCUGUGAAAAGACAUAGGAGGUGUAGGAUAGGUGGGAGGCAGCAACGUCGAAAGUGAAAUACCACUACUCUUAUUGUUUUUUUACUUAAUCGAUUGAGCGGAGGCGGGCUUCACAGCCCAAUUUCUAGAAUUAAGGCCCCGUCGGCGGGUCGAUCUGUGUCAAAGACACUGUCAGGUUGGGAAUUUGGCUGGGGCGGCACAUCUGUCAAAUGAUAACGCAGGUGUCCUAAGGUAAGCUCAAGGAGGACAGAAAUCUCAUGUAGAACAAAAGGGUAAAUGCUCACUUGAUUUUAAUUUUCAGUAUGAAUGCAAACUGUGGAAGCAUGGCCUAUCGACCCUUUAGUGUUUAGGAGUUUUAAGCUAGAGGUGUCAGAAAAGUUACCACUGGGAUAACUGGCUUGUGGCAGACAAGCGUUCAUAGCGACGUUGCUUUUUGAUCUUUCGAUGUCUGCUCUUCCUAUCAUUUUGAAGCAUAAUUCACCAAGUGUUAGAUUGUUCACCCACUAAUAGGGAACGUGAGCUGGGUUCAGACCGUCGUAAGACAGGUUAGUUUUACCCUACUGAUGAAAUGUUGUUGCAAUAGUAAUUCUGCUCAGUACGAGAGGAACCGCAGAUUCAGACAAUUGGCAUUUGCACUUGCUUGAAAAGGCAUCAGCGUGAAGCUACCAUCUGUUGGAUUAUGACUGAAUGCCUCUAAGUCAGAAUCCGUGCUAGAAAGCAAUGAUAAUUACCUCUGGAAAAUCUUAGGCGAACAAGAAUAGGGCCCUGCAAAGGGCUUGU